rnacentral:lncRNA from 1 species
AUAAAUGUAUGUGUGAGUUUCAAGUUGCACUGGCAACACUUUGGAGAAGUUAGCACUUCAGAAUCAUGAGGAUUGUUUAAGCUGUCAUCCCAUUGGCUGGCUGUGUGGAAGUUACCCAUUGUAUGGAAGGUGACCCUGACUAGACCUUGUACAGUCCCUUAAGAUAGAUUAAUAGUGAAGUCCUCUAACAUGUUUUCUGAACCUGUCAAUGAAAGAAGAGAGAGAUGCCUACCAGUGCAGAGGAAAGGAGUGGAUAUAUCUUAAGUCUUUGUUAUUUCUGUCAUGCAGAUGACUCAGGUAUAAAAACUAGAAAUUCUUCCUAAUGUGGAUUAGGGAACUCAGGCUUCACAGUAUAAGCCAAACAAAAAAAAGUUUCAUCACCAACAAACUGUCCUACCAGUUGGUGGCACCGUUAUCCACAUCCUUUGUUCCCCAAGGCAAUACUGAUGAUAAGGCUACAUUCAGUGACAUUUAGUGAAACUGACUGCUGUGAGGGCUCUUUAUAAACUUGCACCAGAAGUACAUCUCUUUUAGUUUAUUUUUAGGUUAUGAUAAUAGGUGCAAGGCUUUACAGCUAAAGGAUUCCUCUCUUAUAUAGUUAUUUCCAGUAGUAUGAAUAAUAGAUAUUCUAGUGGUAAUAGUACUGGUAGCAAAAACUACUCUUCUGCUGCUAGGAUUCUAUGAAUCCUACUACUUUUACUUCAGUUACUCCUAUUAUUGUUAUAUCACUAAUUGUGCAGGUUUUGUGUCAG